rnacentral:tRNA from 1 species
UCCCUUGUAGCUCAGUCGGUAAAGAAUCUGCCUGCAAUGCAGGAGACCCGGGUUUGAUCCCUGGGUGAGGAA